rnacentral:rRNA from 1 species
AACGAACGCUGGCGGCAUGCCUAACACAUGCAAGUCGAACGAGACCUUCGGGUCUAGUGGCGCACGGGUGCGUAACGCGUGGGAACCUGCCCUUAGGUUCGGAAUAACUCCCCGAAAGGGGUGCUAAUACCGGAUAAUGUCUGCUGACCAAAGAUUUAUCGCCUUUGGAUGGGCCCGCGUUGGAUUAGCUAGUUGGUAGGGUAAAAGCCUACCAAGGCGACGAUCCAUAGCUGGUCUGAGAGGAUGAGCAGCCACACUGGGACUGAGACACGGCCCAGACUCCUACAGGAGGCAGCAGUGGGGAAUAUUGGAAAAUGGGCGAAAGCCUGAUCCAGCAAUGCCGCGUGAGUGAUGAAGGCCUUAGGGUUGUAAAGCUCUUUUACCCGGGAUGAUAAUGACAGUACCGGGAGAAUAAGCUCCGGCUAACUCCGUG